UCCCUUUGCGACACUGCAGAAGGCUGCCACAUGGUCUCUCUGCUCCUACCCCUGCUUGGAGCAGCGCCAAGGGGCUUUUUUUGUUUGUUUGUUCAACUUGUAGCCCAGGUUGGUCCCUUCUCCUCUCCCUGUCUUCCGAUGACUUCCCUCCAAUGCUCGUGUUCAGUGUCUACUUGGCUUCUGUCACCUCCCCUGCCCUUCCCCUUGUCUCCUUCCUCCAGUGCACUGGCUCCUUGGCUGCCCGUUAAAGCUGCCAGUCUGGCCUUGGGGGCUUGGUGUUGAAUUCCCCGCGGGGACGUUCUCCCAAGCCCUUCCUACCCACUCAUUCAUGUCCCUGCGAGUUGUCACCAGAGUGCAUCCUUCUCAACCCUCCCAGAGUUUCUCUUCCCCUUCCAGAGGACAGUGGAAGGGAGCCCAUGAUACGGAGAGUGUGGGAUCGUGUGUUAUUUCACGAGGGUUUCGCACUGGCUGCAUGUGGGCUUCAAGGCAGAGACUCCCCUGACCGGUCUUCUCAUCUCUAGUCCUGACUGAGCUGACGUGGGGCAGGCACUUGCUCCUCCCAGGAGAAAUGGGCUCAAGCGCGACGUCACCUCAGUCAUGGAGCUGUCGCAGCUACAGAUGUAUGGUGGUGCCGUGGGCUGAUUACUUCUGCAGAUGGAGUGACAGCAUUUUGAGAUGAGGCCAUUCUGGACAGAGAGGCAAACUCUCCUGGGAGCUCUGCACUGAGGACGCCACUUCAGUUCAGGAAGGGACCUACCAGAGAAAGGAAAGGAGAAGAGAAAGAGCAGUGUUUUUCCUCAGCUCAUCCAGUAAAAAAGGCCUGGAGCCCUUUGUGGUGGAGGAACAUGUGGCUGAGCACAGAGGUGGAGGCAGAAGAGCUGGCUGCUGAGUUCCUGGAGGGCUGCGUGUCCCCUGCUGGGCUGUGAGCCCGUGAACCCAGGACCAGGAAAAUCUGCUGUCAAAUCCCAGCAUGAUUCACUUCUUGAUUUUCCCCUAUGCCUGACUUCAAUACCAAGCUCUGCUUUCUACAAAAGCCCGGAGGCAUGAAGUGGAUUAGCUCUUGGAAAACUGGGAGCUCCUUGGCUCGAGGCUCCCACAAGAGCCCGUUUUGUGUCUGAACUGACGAGAUGGUGAAUCAAGGAAUCCUGCUGCGCCAGGAACCACCCCGUGUUCCACAGAGAGCGCAGUGCUCCCAUAAUCUAAAUGGUGGGCUCCAUGCAGGGAGCCCUGCAGACACAGCUUAGCUUCCCCAAGGGUCAAGUGAGGAGGGAAGGGCUUUCAAAGGUUUGCUGCAUCGGCUGUCAGCUGCAAGCUCCUUUGUUUCGGCAGGGCCAGGAGAGCACUGCCGGAGGCCAAGCUCUCCUAACUCAAGCUCAGGCUCCCACUUUGGUGCCAGUUCCAAUCACAGGGGGCACGGGGUGGCCAGGAGCUGUGGCUGCCAAGGUUGGACAGCAACCAGAACUUGGGGUGUGGAAGAGGGGUUGUUGAGAGCCUUCUGGACGGCACUGUGGGCCACUUUGUUUCUUUCUUUGGGCAGUUCUCUGCUUUUACUGUCACAUCUCCCUUGGCCCAGGUACGAAGAAGAAAAGGUUGCCCACCAUUCCAGUUCUACAAGGAUCAAGGCAUCCUCUACUGCUGUCACCCACCCCAGGACAGUGCGCCCUGAGGGGGAUUCAGGAUAGAGCUAAUCAGGGAGUACUCUGUGCUUUGGAUGAAUGGGGCCCCUAGCUAGCUAGAUGCAUACCUCAGGAAGAAUUUCAAUGACCCCAGAUCUUAUAUCUUCCCGGACAUAGAAAAACACUAAAAUCAUUAACUUGAGAUGUCUGUUCUUUGUGAUUAGCAGUUGUCUUUUUAUGCUAGACUGCAUGUUUUUCUCAGCAAAAAAGUUCAUAUAUGUCCUGGCUCCUUCCAGGAGCCUUCUGCUUCCUCUUUGGGGCAGUUCCUCAGAGCUAC